rnacentral:rRNA from 1 species
CUACGGGUUGCUGCAGUGGGGAAUAUUGGACAAUGGGGGAAACCCUGAUCCAGCAAUGCCGCGUGUGUGAAGAAGGCCUGCGGGUCGUAAAGCACUUUCGGUUGGGAGGACUGCUUCUAGCACUAAUAUUGUUGGAAGUUGACGUUACCUUCAGAAGAAGCACCGGCUAACUCCGUGCCAGCAGCCGCGGUAAUACGGAGGGUGCAAGCGUUAAUCGGAGUUACAGGGCGUAAAGCGCGCGUAGGCGGCUAGAUCAGUCGGGUGUGAAAGCCCCGGGCUUAACCUGGGAACUGCAUCCGAUACUGUCUAGCUUGAGUACAGGAGAGGAGAGUGGAAUUCCACAUGUAGCGGUGAAAUGCGUAGAUAUGUGGAGGAACACCAAUGGCGAAGGCAGCUCUCUGGCCUGAUACUGACGCUGAGGUGCGAAAGCGUGGGGAGGAAACAGGAUUAGAUACCCGCGUAGUC